rnacentral:lncRNA from 1 species
GGGGCGAUCGUGCACAGGAUUCAAGGGGAAAACUUCGGCUGCAAAAAUUUCUCUGUACUUCCUUCAUUAGAAAUUCGAACUCGGAAGUAGGCGGACUGGUGUUGGGUAUAAAAUACCCCCCAGUCGAAGUUAAUGACGGGGGUGACCCUCCGGAGAUCCAACUGACUUUCGACCUCCGACAACGUCUCUUCAAACCCCCUAGGCGAUCGAGCCUCCGCCACACUCCCAAAUCUUGCCGAUGGGCAGG